rnacentral:rRNA from 1 species
ACAUGCAAGUCGAACGAAGUAGCAAUACUUAGUGGCAGACGGGUGAGUAACAUGUAGGUAUCUGCCCUUUGGCCUGGAAUAACACGAGGAAACUUGUGCUAAUACCGGAUAAGUCUUUACGGAGAAAGCUUUAUGCACCAUUGGAUGAGCCUGCACUUGAUUAGUUUGUUGGUGGGGUAAUGGCCUACCAAGACUGUGAUCAAUAGCUGAUUUGAGAGGAUGAUCAGCCACAUUGGGACUGAGACACGGCCCAAACUCCUACGGGAGGCAGCAGUGGGGAAUCUUAGACAAUGGGCGCAAGCCUGAUCUAGCCAUGCCGCGUGAGUGAUGAAGGCCUUAGGGUCGUAAAGCUCUUUCGCCUGUGAUGAUAAUGACAGUAGCAGGUAAAGAAACCCCGGC